rnacentral:rRNA from 1 species
UGGGGAAUAUUGCACAAUGGGCGCAAGCCUGAUGCAGCCAUGCCGCGUGUAUGAAGAAGGCCUUCGGGUUGUAAAGUACUUUCAGCGGGGAGGAAGGGAGUAAAGUUAAUACCUUUGCUCAUUGACGUUACCCGCAGAAGAAGCACCGGCUAACUCCGUGCCAGCAGCCGCGGUAAUACGGAGGGUGCAAGCGUUAAUCGGAAUUACUGGGCGUAAAGCGCACGCAGGCGGUUUGUUAAGUCAGAUGUGAAAUCCCCGGGCUCAACCUGGGAACUGCAUCUGAGACUGGCAAGCUUGAGUCUCGGAGAGGGGGGUAGAAUUCCAGGUGUAGCGGUGAAAUGCGUAGAGAUCUGGAGGAAUACCGGUGGCGAAGGCGGCCACCUGGACGAAGACUGACGCUCAGGUGCGAAAGCGUGGGGAGCAAACAGG